CCUACGGGGGUCAGCAGUGGGGAAUAUUGCACAAUGGGGGAAACCCUGAUGCAGCGACGCCGCGUGAGCGAAGAAGUAUUUCGGUAUGUAAAGCUCUAUCAGCAGGGAAGAAACUGACGGUACCUGACUAAGAAGCACCGGCUAAAUACGUGCCAGCAGCCGCGGUAAUACGUAUGGUGCAAGCGUUAUCCGGAUUUACUGGGUGUAAAGGGAGCGUAGACGGAUAGGCAAGUCUGGAGUGAAAGCCCGGGGCUCAACCCCGGGACUGCUUUGGAAACUGUUUAUCUAGAGUGCUGGAGAGGUAAGUGGAAUUCCUAGUGUAGCGGUGAAAUGCGUAGAUAUUAGGAGGAACACCAGUGGCGAAGGCGGCUUACUGGACAGUAACUGACGUUGAGGCUCGAAAGCGUGGGGAGCAAACAGGAUUAGAUACCCCUGUAGUC
rnacentral:rRNA from 1 species